rnacentral:rRNA from 1 species
UUGCUCUUCAACGAGGAAUACCUAGUAAGCGUGAGUCAUCAGCUCGCGUUGAUUACGUCCCUGCCCUUUGUACACACCGCCCGUCGCUACUACCGAUUGAAUGGCUUAGUGAGGUCUUGGGAUUGGCUUCGGGAAGCCGGCAACGGCAUCCUGUUGCUGAAAACUUGAUCAAACUUGGUCAUUUAGAGGAAGUAAAAGUCGUAACAAGGUUUCCGUAGGUGAACCUGCGGAAGGAUCAUUAAUGAAUUUUGAAAGGGGUUGUAGCUGGCUUUUUCGUUUGAGAGGCAUUUUGUGCACACCCUGAUCAUCAUCCAUUUCAAACACCUGUGCACAUACUGUAGGUUGGUUUGUGAGGCAGGCACUUUCAUCGGUGCAGCUUUGUGAGCCUUCCUAUGUUUUUAUUAUAAACAACUGUCGUUUAAAGAAUGUUUAUUGCGUGCAACGCAUCUACAUAUACAACUUUCAGCAACGGAUCUCUUGGCUCUCGCAUCGAUGAAGAACGCAGCGAAAUGCGAUAAGUAAUGUGAAUUGCAGAAUUCAGUGAAUCAUCGAAUCUUUGAACGCAUCUUGCGCUCCUUGGUAUUCCGAGGAGCAUGCCUGUUUGAGUGUCAUGGAAUUCUCAACUUCAUUUGCUUCUGUGAAUGAGGCUUGGAUUUGAGGUGUUUGCUGGAUUUGUAUGUUCAGCUCCUCUUGAAUUCAUUAGCUCGAGCCUUUUGCGGAUCGGCCUCAGUGUGAUAAUUAUCUACGCUGUUCUGUGAAGCAUUACACUGUGGGUUUCGGCUUCCAAUUGUCUUUGCGGACAACAAAUUUGAUCUUUGACCUCAGAUCAGGUAGGAUUACCCGCUGAACUUAAGCAUAUCAAUAAGCGGAGGA